UCGAACCUAUCMAAAUGGAAGACCCGCGAACGAGUGUUACAAACGCGGUGCGUUUGGCCUUUACCGGUCUCUACGUCCACCGAAUCCGUGGGGGUCAUGUUGCUGCGUGGGUUCUCUCAUCGGCUGCUCGUGUCUCUGUCGGAAAUCACCAAACCCCGGCGCGAAAAGCGCCAAGGACCAUAAAACGAAACAGCUCGCUCUGGACACCCCUGAUGAGGUGUGUGUCCGGUUGUGUUGCUGCAAACACUAGUCUAUAACGACUCUCGGCAACGGAUAUCUCGGCUCUCGCAUCGAUGAAGAACGUAGCGAAAUGCGAUACUUGGUGUGAAUUGCAGAAUCCCGUGAACCAUCGAGUCUUUGAACGCAAGUUGCGCCCCAAGCCGUCAGGCUGAGGGCACGCCUGCCUGGGUGUCACGCAUCGUCGUCCCCCCUCCCGUCUUAGCACGGCGAUAACGGAGACGGAGAAUGGUCUCCCGUGUGUUUCCGCACGCGGUUGACCCAAAUAUAAGCCAAGGGCGUGGAGUCCUUGAAUUAAGCGGGUGGUGUAAUAUACCUCGUGAAAAGUCGGCCGCUCCCGUCUCAACAUGCUGUCAUGACCCUCUCAGAGUUGCUUGUGUKACUCUCCGAACGCGACCCAGGKAGCGGGA
rnacentral:rRNA from 1 species